UACGUAGGGGAAGAGCGUUGUCCGGAAUUACUGGGCGUAAAGGGCGCGCAGGCUGUAGAUCAAGUCAGCUGUGAAAUGUCUGGGCUUAACCCGGGCAUGCGGUUGAAACUGAUGUACUGGAGUGCUGUAGAGGCAAGUGGAAUUCCCAGUGUAGCGGUGAAAUGCGUAGAUAUUGGGAAGAACACCGGUGGCGAAGGCGACUUGCUGGGCAGCAACUGACGCUGAGGCGCGAAAGCCCAGGGGAGCAAACGGGAUUAGA
rnacentral:rRNA from 1 species